AUUGAACGCUGGCGGCAUGCUUUACACAUGCAAGUCGAACGGCAGCGCGGGGCAACCUGGCGGCGAGUGGCGAACGGGUGAGUAAUAUAUCGGAACGUACCCAAGAGUGGGGGAUAACGUAGCGAAAGUUACGCUAAUACCGCAUACGAUCUAUGGAUGAAAGCAGGGGACCUUCGGGCCUUGUGCUCCUGGAGCGGCCGAUAUCUGAUUAGCUAGUUGGUGAGGUAAAGGCUCACCAAGGCGACGAUCAGUAGCCGGUCUGAGAGGACGACCAGCCACACUGGAACUGAGAGCCGUUCCAGACUCCUACGGGAGGCAGAAGUGGGGAAUUUUGGACAAUGGGCGCAAGCCUGAUCCAGCAAUGCCGCGUGAGUGAAGAAGGCCUUCGGGUUGUAAAGCUCUUUUGUCAGGGAAGAAACGGUUGGGGCUAAUAUCCCCGGCUAAUGACGGUACCUGAAGAAUAAGCACCGGCUAACUACGUGCCAGCCGCCGCCGUAA
rnacentral:rRNA from 1 species